GAAGCCGGUAGUCUAACCGACAAGGGGGACGCCGUCCACGGUGUGUCAAUGACUGGGGUG
rnacentral:rRNA from 1 species